rnacentral:rRNA from 1 species
AAGCUCGUAGUUGAAUUUCGGGAUUAGUGCGCCGGUCGUGCCUUCGGUAUGUACUGGUGUUACUGGUUCCUACCUUCUGACGAACCGUCAUGUCAUUAAUUUGGUGUGGCGGGGAAUCAGGACUGUUACUUUGAAAAAAUUAGAGUGUUUAAAGCAGGCUCGCGCUUGAAUACAUUAGCAUGGAAUAAUGAAAUAGGACGUUCGAUCCUAUUUUGUUGGUUUCUAGGAUUGACGUAAUGAUUAAUAGGGAUAGUUGGGGGCAUUAGUAUUCAAUUGUCAGAGGUGAAAUUCUUGGAUUUAUUGAAGACUAACUACUGCGAAAGCAUUUGCCAAGGAUGUUUUCAUUAAUCAAGAACGAAAGUUAGGGGAUCGAAGACGAUCAGAUACCGUCGUAGUCUUAACCAUAAACUAUGCCGACUAGGGAUCGGAUGAUGUUAUUUUUAAUGACUCAUUCGGCGCCUUACGGGAAACCAAAGUGUUUGGGUUCCGGGGGGAGUAUGGUCGCAAGGCUGAAACUUAAAGGAAUUGACGGAAGGGCACCACCAGGGGUGGAGCCUGCGGCUUAAUUUGACUCAACACGGGGAAA